rnacentral:rRNA from 1 species
GGCGGCGUGCCUAACACAUGCAAGUCGAGCGAACCCUUCGGGGUGAGCGGCGGACGGGUGAGUAACGCGUGGGUAACCUGCCCUGUACACACGGAUAACAUACCGAAAGGUAUGCUAAUACGAGAUAACAUGUAAUGAUCGCAUGGUCGAUACAUCAAAGCUCCGGCGGUACAGGAUGGACCCGCGCCUGAUUAGCUAGUUGGUGAGGUAAUGGCUCACCAAGGCGACGAUCAGUAGCCGACCUGAGAGGGUGAUCGGCCACAUUGGAACUGAGACACGGUCCAAACUCCUACGGGAGGCAGCAGUGGGGAAUAUUGCACAAUGGGCGAAAGCCUGAUGCAGCAACGCCGCGUGAGCGAUGAAGGCCUUCGGGUCGUAAAGCUCUGUCCUCAAGGAAGAUAAUGACGGUACUUGAGGAGGAAGCCCCGGCUAACUACGUGCCAGCAGCCGCGGUAAUACGUAGGGGGCUAGCGUUAUCCGGAUUUACUGGGCGUAAAGGGUGCGUAGGCGGUCUUUCAAGUCAGGAGUGAAAGGCUACGGCUCAACCGUAGUAAGCUCUUGAAACUGUAAGACUUGAGUGCAGGAGAGGAGAGUGGAAUUCCUAGUGUAGCGGCGAAAUGCGUAGAUAUUAGGAGGAACACCAGUGGCGAAGGCGGCUUGCUGGACGACAACUGACGCUGAGGCGCGAAAGCGUGGGGAGCAAACAGGAUUAGAUACCCUGGUAGUCCACGCUGUAAACGAUGAGUACUAGCUGUCGGAGGUUACCCCCUUCGGUGGCGCAGCUAACGCAUUAAGUACUCCGCCUGGGAAGUACGCUCGCAAGAGUGAAACUCAAAGGAAUUGACGGGGACCCGCACAAGUAGCGGAGCAUGUGGUUUAAUUCGAAGCAACGCGAAGAACCUUACCUAAGCUUGACAUCCUUUUGACCUCUCCCUAAUCGGAGAUUUCCCUUCGGGGACAGAAGUGACAGGUGGUGCAUGGUUGUCGUCAGCUCGUGUCGUGAGAUGUUGGGUUAAGUCCCGCAACGAGCGCAACCCUUGCCUUUAGUUGCCAGCAUUAAGUUGGGCACUCUAGAGGGACUGCCAGGGAUAACCUGGAGGAAGGUGGGGAUGACGUCAAAUCAUCAUGCCCCUUAUGCUUAGGGCUACACACGUGCUACAAUGGGUGGUACAGAGGGCAGCCAAGUCGUGAGGCGGAGCUAAUCCCUUAAAGCCAUUCUCAGUUCGGAUUGUAGGCUGAAACUCGCCUACAUGAAGCUGGAGUUACUAGUAAUCGCAGAUCAGAAUGCUGCGGUGAAUGCGUUCCCGGGUCUUGU